rnacentral:rRNA from 1 species
AGAGUUUGAUCAUGGCUCAGAAUCAACGCUGGCGGCGUGCCUAACACAUGCAAGUUGAGCGCUUGAGGGGGCAACCCCCAAGAGAGCAGCGAACGGGUGAGUAACGCGUGGGUGAUCUUCCUUCGAGUGGGGAACAACAUCGGGAAACUGGUGCUAAUUCCGCAUAAUAUCCUCGGGCCACGAGCCUGGGGAUCAAAGCCGGGGACCGCAAGGCCUGGCGCUUGAAGAUGAGCCCGCGUCCGAUUAGCUAGUUGGCGGGGUAAUGGCCCACCAAGGCUCCGAUCGGUAGCCGGCCUGAGAGGGCGGACGGCCACACUGGAACUGAGACACGGUCCAGACUCCUACGGGAGGCAGCAGUGGGGAAUUUUUCGCAAUGGGCGCAAGCCUGACGAAGCAACGCCGCGUGGAGGAUGAAGGUCUUCGGAUUGUAAACUCCUGUCGACCGGGACGAAUGCACUCGACCUAAUACGUCGGAAUGUUGACGGUACCGGUGGAGGAAGCCACGGCUAACUCUGUG